GACGAACGCUGGCGGCGUGCUUAACACAUGCAAGUCGAACGGCGUGGCGAACGGGUGAGUGACACGUGUGUGAUCUGCCUUGCACUUCGGGAUAAGCUUGGGAAACUGGGUCUAAUAACGGCUCGUGCAAGAUGAGCUCGCGGCCUAUCAGCUUGUUGGGGGGGUAAUGGCCUACCAAGGGGUCGACGGGUAGCCGACCUGAGAGGGUGUACGGCCACAUGGGGACUGAGAUACGGCCCAGAGUGCUACGGGGGGCAGUAGUGGGGAAUAUUGCACAAUGGGCGGAAGUGUGAUGCAGCGACGCUGGGUGGGGGAUGAAGGCCUUGGGGUUGUAAACUCCUUUCGACAGGGACGCGGUACCUGUAUAAGAAGCACCGGCUAACUACGUGCCAGCCGCCGCGGUAAUUC
rnacentral:rRNA from 1 species